UUACACCUUCUGAAACCUGAGCUGUAGACGUGCAACAUACUUUUCACCUCCAAGCACAUGCGUCGGCUGUGCACUGAACGGAGCGAGCUGGAACCUUGUGAGUCAUCUGUGAGCAACUGGAGUAACCGUUUGUUGAGAGCUAGCUUGUGGAGAUCCCGGUGAGUGAAAAGUUAGUUGGCCUGCCUUAGCUUUCGGCUAAUGUGUUAUUUUGGCAUAAAUUACUGACUUUUAUUUAAAAUAAAACCAAUCGGGAGUUUUAUGGACACUGUCCCAAUCUUUUAAAUGCUUUGAUGUACUCCACAUCAUCGUAACGUGUGAGAGAUUUGUUUAAAAAAAAAAAGCUAACGCUAAUGCUAGCGCUAAUGGCUACCGCUAGUUCCCAUCUUUUACAAUGGAGUAAUUAGCACUGUAGCAAGAGGGCUCGUGCUCUCUGUAUACCAAUUGAUUAAUUUGUUAGAACGGCAACAGUUGAUUGUGAGCUGUGUUAAGUUAGGCUAUAUAGUUGGUUUUAGUAAAAAUAAAUAAGUGUUUGUACAAAGUUGAUAAGCAAUUCAUUUAAUCUACCUGGUUACAAGGAUUAAAAAGAUAAAAAAGUGUUUUAAAAGUGAUGAACAUUUCAGUUAUAUCAUAUAAAUAUGAUUAAGUCAUAAGAUGUUCAAUUAAUUUAUGUUUAACAUAAGGUUGCUGCUAAACAGCAGGAAAACUACACAAAUUACAGUUUGAAGUUAAAGCUAAGAGCUGGAACUGGGAAGCAUUUCAGUUGCUUUGAUAAGGUUUUCCUAAACAAUUGGAUAACUACUAGUGAUGCUCUUUUGAGUUAGAUCUGAGGUCUCAUAUGGAUAGAAAAAUGAACAGAAUGAUUUACUUUCUGCAUUCUAUGUAGAUUGGUUUUAUAGGCUGUGUCUCAAUUCAGGGUCUGCAUCCUUCGUCGGCCGGUUACGUCACAGCGCCGCGACUAGGCAUGUCCCAAUUCGAAGACUCCUUCAAAUGCGGUCGACAAAUCCGGCCUUCUUUUCGCCUGAAUGAAGGAUGGGUUCGGUGUAUCCUUCAAUAGGUAGCAUUUCCCAAGAUGCCUUGCGGGCCGGCCGGCAGAAAAACUUUUAAAAACAAUGGCGGACAGUGAAGCGGGAGCUGUUGGAGAGGAUUGCGCAUAUAAAUGUAAGUAUAAACUUGAAAACUGUUAGGUUAAGGACUUUUUGUGACACAUGAACUAGGGCUGCUCGAUUAUGGCAAAAAUAAUAAUCACGAUUUUUGUGACUGAAAUUGAGAUCACGAUUAUUUAGGACGAUUUUUCAAUUUAUGAUGAUUUUAUUUGUUUUUAUUCAGUCAUAAAAUUGCUCAGGGCACAAUUAGGACAAAAAUAAGAAACAAGAUGAUCACUAAAAUAACUCCUGAUUCCCAGUAUAAAAAGACCAAUAUACUUAUAGCUCAUAGUCUAUGACCCAAGGGCUAUAGACCUUGGUUUAACUCAUUUAAGUCUAACCAGUACAGAACCAAAUACCAAUAUCUUGCAAAUACUGACAGCAAGAAUUAUACAGUGGCAUUUAUAACAAAUAAAUGCAAAUAAAUUGAUGUUCACAAAAUGUUGCAUAACAUUUAUUGAGUCGUGUCAAUGUGCUGUAGGAGAGUGCACUAGCACCGUGUCCUCAGAGAGGUUAGCUAUUAGUUAUCAGCGUGAGGAACUUAUUUCUACCUUAUUUAUAAACUAUUUAUUUACAAGUCCAUCAGUUAAUGUAAUAAUUGUCCCAACCACAGCUGCACCCCCCACCCCCCAACCCGGUCUCACAGCAAUCAGGGGCAAGCUGCACGUGUGUUUAGCGCGCUGCACGCGCACAUUUAGCUGUUUUUAGCUGCUCAGGAGUCCGCAGGUGCGGUGUGUGUGUCACUCACUCUGGUUAAUCCAACAAGGAGCCGGCUCCGAGAGCUGUCUUUAGCGACCGACACAUCACUACAUCAUUCCCUUUCUAAUGUUGUGAAGAAUGGUCCGGAGCUCAGGCGGAGUGUUUAGCUAACCUGCAGGAAAUGUCGACGACCGUUAUCCAGAAAGUAGCUAAGGGUUACCAGAGAUGUUUCUGAGAUGUUCGCUAGGUACUUUUAGGAUUAAAAAGUCAAGAAGGGGGUCUGAAAAGCUGCUAGAAAUAGCGUCAAAGUCGCUAAGUUGGCAACACUAUGAGGAGCGCUUCAUUUGCAACUCAGGGCAGCGCAAGCGGGAGGAGCAAAUAAUCGGCUUGUUUUGUUUUUAUAAUCGUUCAAAACUCAGAUCGUAAUCGUGAUUAAAAUUCGAUUAAUUGAGCAGCCCUAACAUGAACGUUAUUUUAGUUAGAAAUGUUACAGUAAAAGUGCUUGUAUUGCGGUCUCGGCUCGUACAGGGUAUCUGCGGGUCCUUAAAAAGUUUUAAAAAGUCUUAAAUUAGCUUUUCCUAAUUUAAGGCCUUAAAAGUCCUUAAAAAUGACAAAUAAUCCUUAAAUCCAGUUUUCAAAGGUCUUAAAUGACCAAAGACCCAAUAAACAAGAUUCUUUUAUUUCUAUAAAAAUUUCGUGAAUCUCUAGUUAGUGUUCAGCAUUUUUUGUGUACGAUGUUGGCGUAAGCGGAACCGUACGCAGUCAGUUGGUUGUGAAAGGGGGCUAUUUUAAGAGGAGCACAUUAGCUGGUUAAGCUAGUGGGAGCUUGCGCCAUGGGGAAGGGCAAGUUUAAUGGUAACUGGAUGGCUAAUCCCACGUUCGCGACGUGGUUAGCACCGGCUCCAGGCAAUAGCUGGAAAUUAUCGCUUAAAUUUAAUUUUUAAAAUAGCUUAAAUUUGGUCAAAGUGGCCUUAAAAAAGGUCUUAAGUCUUAAAUUUGGCUCCCUUAAAUCUGCAGCUACCCUGCUCGUAUGUUCGACCGCUCGGUGUUGUACUUCUCCCGCUACGUUUUCCCCCUGAUUUUAAUAGGAGUUUGUAUUUUAGGAACAAAAGAGAAAACCACGGACUUUAUUAAGCUUAGGGCGGAGAUGGACCACAUGAUCACUGGAGCAAAGCAUUCGGCGGCUGUGGCAUGGAGACUAUUCUGGAGAAAAUGAGCACCCAGGGGAAGGUGACAGCGAUGACCAGCUUCUGGAGCUGAUCAGGGAGGACAAGAGGCUGCAGAGGGAGGCAGAGCAGCAGAGGGCAGGAGAGAAGGGAGAACUUUGACAGCUUUUUACUUUGCUAGAAAAAAUGGUUAAUAAAGAUUAAACAUGUACAUAUAAAAGAAAUAUCUAAAUAAAAUCAGUUCUGCAUUAAACUCUUGAAUUUUAUUUUGGUUUACAAAUGAGAAUUUUUUACUAGAGGGUAUCCUCUGGGUCUUAAAGUCUUAAAAGGUGAUAAAUCGGUUUUGGUCAAAUGAAGACCCUUAGAAAGUAUUAAAAACUAUUAUCACAUCUUUGCUCAGGCUCAGCUUAUCGAAAGUAUUUUCUCUGAAUUAGCUCUCCAACAGUCAAGGAAAUGAUAAAAGAUCUAAAUAAAACUUCGAGCUCCAUCGUUUAAAGUUCUUUCUCCCUUCUGCUCAGCGGUUCCACGGUUGCUAGGCGACAGAACGUUCGCCGAGGGAGAGGUGGGAAUUCAUGAAGGCGAGGCCUGUCCAAAUUCACAGCCGUUAACAUCCGGUCUACCCGGCCGACGGAGGACCCAGCCCACGUCGGCCGAGUAGGCUGGGUCCUUCGAAGGAUGCAGACCCUGAAUUGAGACACAGCCAUAGUUACUCUGCAUUCUUGACGUGAUGGCGAGCCGAGCCCAGAUGGACUGCGGACAGGUGUAAACGGUGUGGCCAGCCGAGACAUCCUUUCGCGGAGGAACCUUCACGAACUGGAAAAAUCCAUAUAGAUCUACAGAUAAGACACAAACACUACCCGGGUAGCAACGUUGCUCAAGAACUGAAUCCUAAAGAUCAAAAUCUAUUUUUAUUUAUAUUUUUUGGGGGGAAAAGAGCUCUCUUAUUUUGGGUAUUGUAUUUGAUUUUGAAAAUAUUGUAACCACACUUUUUUUUUUUAAAUUUAUUUGUAUGCUGGGUGAAGCAAUAAAUCACUGUUGUUCACCUUUCGGAUGGUUAUCCUAAUUCUCUUUGUAGAUAGAGCCUAGUAGAUGUCUUAGCACCUGACUAAAACUAGUCCCCUCUAUAGGUGCUACACAAAACAUUUCCAAUUGCUCAAUUAGAAAAAAAAAACAGUUAAAGCAGUAAAAAAAUUUAAAAUAUUAUUAAAAUCAAAUUGAAGAAGCACUUCGAGCUCUGGCAACGAAUCGUCAUAAAAUAUUGACGUGAUUUUUGACUGUAACUCAGCUUUUUUUCCUAAUCUAAAUUUCAUACAAUAAAUGAAUUACUUCUUCUCUGAUUGAGUUAAACUAACUAAAAUAUAUAAAGCCAGAGUCUACAUGUGUUACUCAGGAGGUUAAAGCUCACACCGAACACAAAGAUUAAUGUAUUUUCAUGAGUUACUUUGUGUUCAGGAGAUUAAAUAUGGUUUCUUUUAAUCAACACAGUAAUAAAGAAAGCAUAUGUUAGGUAUUAGUUGCCUGUAUUUGGACCUUUUCUGGUCCAACUCUGUAUUUGAACAAAUGUUUGGUGUUUAAUUCUCAAAUCCUCCCCUCCAGUAUUUAGUUUUAGUCAAUAAACCUGUGAUUCAACAGCUUUUGCACACCAACUGAAGUCAGAUCAUGUGUUAUUCCGUUUAUUUCCCCAAAUCCUUAAUUUAGCCCCAGUAGUGUGAAUUAUCACUGAGGCGCACGGAGCCUGCUGUGAGAGAACAGAAUGUAAAUUUUAUUAUUCUCGGACACACGGGAAUCCAGACUACAAUGACUCCUUGUUAUUACAAAAAAUGAACACGCAUGAAAAAAGAACAUCCUCUGACCUUUCCACCGUCUCAUUACCAUACAUCACAUCGUUCACUCUCUCAUAAAGCGCCUGCCUUCACUCACGCUUCACAAUCACCAUGAACUAUUAUCAGUGAGGGGGGUUGCUGCAAUUGAAAAGCAGAACAUGUGUUAUGGUGUGUGUGUGUGUGUGCGGAACGUGUUUAAAUGUCAGUGUGCUGCUUCUUUGACGGCGUUCUAAAACCAAUUAUGUUUGCCUGCGAUGAAACACACCUCAGGCUGUAGCCUCCUCAUGUCUAACAUCAUGAAUCCACCAGGAGAAGAUUAUGAGGAGGUCUAAAGAGGCCGACCGUGGUUUGGGUCAUUCCACUUGGAAAAGCACCCCUUAAAUGCAACUAAACAGCCAAUCACAUUUGGUUGCCAGGAAGAACUAGUUGAUUUUUGGCCAAUCAGCAAAGCCAAGCUUUAUGUCGCUGGGGUGCUGGGAGGUUUCGCCCCUGCUCCCUGAGUGAUUUGUUACUAAGCCCGUACAGUUACGCUGGUCAUGUGAUUGUGUUUUACAUUAAACUGGCUAAUGCUCAGAGCUUCCUCUGCACUCUGUUCCACCACAGAGUCACGUAUAUGCGCCACCACCUGUUCAAAAAGCGAAGAAGAAUCGUCCAAAUAGGAAAACAAACAAACAACUCCGGUGUUUUCUGUGGCUCAGUGCCAAGAUUGUCACUACUCAAGCUGAUGAGACCACUGACGGCUGUAUCAACACAGAAAGCUUGUUCUGGUGCUGGCACACUGGUGUGCACGUUGAAGUGCAAAAACAUUGAUUCAAUUGCCAUUGUGCUCGUUGAACUGUUUUCUCUGAUGACGACAAAGAUAAAACUCAUUGAUCAGACUUAUGAUGGAGCCAAUGUGAUGAGAGGACAUCAGCUAAAGGUCUGUGAACAUAAAACACCAUAAAUUAGUUCUACGCUUUAACUUGUUUACAAUGAAGACUUCUAAUUAAAUUCAUUUGGUUUUAAGUCAUAAGCUGCACUCUUCUGUAAGACUGGUAAGGUCCUUACUCCAUGGUCUCAUUUGGACACCCGUUGGUGAUCUUGUUGAAUUAAGUCACUGCAUUGCCAAAAUAAUUGUAUAGAUGCCUCCUGAUGCUGGCUGUAGGUCCCACUCUGUGGUUUAGGCAGGUACCCCCCCCCCCAUACGUAUUUCCAUCAGCGUAACAGCAGUGAGGAUUUUGGGCUCCUUGUCAUUACUUGUGUUGGUAAACUGUGUUUUGUGAAGUCCGCAGUCAAAACAUGCAUCUACCAGGACAUUUUAGAGCUGUUCAUGCUUCCUUUGGCUGACAAGUUUUAUGGAGAUGCUUAUUUCCUUUUCCAGCAGGAUUUGGUACCUGCCUAGAUGCCAAAGAUACCAAGAGCCGGUUCAAUAACCUUGGUGUUGCUGAGUUUGAAUGGUCAACAAGCUGGUUUGACUUAAACCCCAUGGGUUACUGUCAAACACACCAGACCCAACAAUGCAGAUUACCUGAAGUCAGCUGGGUUUUUAUUACACCUCAGCAGGGCCACAGGUGGAUGGCCUCCAUGCCACACAGUAAUUCGUUAAAACAGAGGCCCAGCCACUUUUCAGAAACCUGGAAAUUCAGUUUAAUUUUCAAAGACACUGAAAUGUGGGUAUUUAUUAGCUGUAAGCCAUAAUCAUCACAAUUACCAGAAGUAAAGGCUUGAAAUAUGUCUCUGUUUAAUGCAACUACUAUAGAAAGAGUUUCUCUUUCUGAAAUUAGUGAAAAAGGUAUUGAAAACUUUUCAUUUAUUGAAUUUUUUAGAUGCAUCUAUUAGAUUCCUCUGUAGAAAGGUCCUCUACAAAGACUGAUUACAUCCCAUCAAGGAUCAGGAACUGUAGAUUUAAUGUGACAUAAUGAGCGGUUGCUCAGAGGUUCCAGAUCAUGCUAUUUUAAACGUUUGAGAACAAAAAUAGACACAGUGUAUGCUUGUUUAUUUAUUUAUUAGAUUAUUUAUUUAUUAGAUUAUUGAGUUAUUUUUUUAGUAAUUUUCACGCCUCCCUGGGCUGCCACCUUACUGUAGUGGAGGGGCUUGACUGUCCCAAUGAUCCUAAAUUGUUUGAGGCAUUGUGCCUCUGGGGUCACCCAUGGCAAACAGGUCCUAGGUGAGGGAUCAGACAAAGAGCAGCCCAAAGACCUCUUGUGAAGAAAGAUUUACAUGGAAACAGUGUUCCCUCGCCCGGACACGGGUCAUCGGUGCCCCCCGCUGGAGCCAUUCCUGGAGGUGGGGCACGUUGACGAGCACCUAGUGGCCGGGCUUUCACCCAUGGAGCCCGGCCUGAAGAGCAAACGUGAGUCCCCCUUCCCAUGGGCUCACCCCUCACGGGAGGGGCCAAAGGGGUCGGGUGCAGUGUGUGAUGGGUGGUGGUGGUCUGAUCCUUGGCAACAGAAGCUGGCUCUCGGUAUGUGGAAUGUCACCUCUCUGGUGGGGAAGGAGCCUGACUUGGUGUGUGAGGUUGAGAGUUUCCAACUAGAUAGUUGGAUUCAACUCAACGCAUGGCUGUGACUCCAGAAUCAGUUUCCUUGAGAGGAGUUGGACACUAACACUCUAGAGUUGUACAAAAUUGCAUGGCCACCUCGCACACUUACCACUAGACUACCAAGUCUGCUACAGAGCAAUCAUCACCUAUGCCACAUAUCCUAAGCUGGCCAGGGGAGACAGGUUUCAGACCAAAUACUAGCGUCUAGGAGAGGAGCAGGGCCUGAUGUUGGGAGCAGGACGACGGAGUGAUGCACAAGUUAUACAUUAGGCCGUUUCAGAAAUUUCAAAAUAAAAUUCUAAAUUUGCAGCUGAAACAGGAAAAUACAUAAAUGCAGGCAAAAAUUGGUUUGGGGUAUUUUACAUGAGGAAACGGCGAUAUUACAUGCUAAAACGCUCGAAAAAGUGGAUUUUCCAUGAUAUGGCUCCUUCAAAAACCCAACAACACAACUUAGUAAAGGCUAAAUCUGGAGCCUGACUUCACUAGAGCCUUCCUAGUCAGUUCCCUGAUAAAGUUCCCCGAGUGCUUUGGUAGGUCAGAGCUCAAAUGUUUUGAAAGUAUCUCCGUGCCCCUUCUCACGCUCUUUGUAACAUCAGCACAAACUAGACACAAACUCACCGUGCUU